UUGCACAAUGCACAUCCCCAGGCUUCUCUGAAUGAGUAAUCAAUCGAUGACGAUGAAAGCCCCAUUGCUCUUGCCAAAACAGGCCGAUGCCAAGUGUUGCAGUUCAGCCAUUCUCAAGCUGAGCUGUGUCAAAUCGAUGCCCACAUCU